AGGGUCUCACAUGUUAGUCAUAUAAGACAAAAUAAGAGACGUUGGUGUGCGUCUCGCACGCCUUGGAAGGAUUUCUGGGUAUUCUGUGGAAUUCUAGGUGUUGUCUACGUGAGCUAUUUGAUUCUGUAGAGGUCUAUUCCUCUAAUUAUCUUCGAGCUGUUUUUCAGUCUCUGUCAAUUAUAGAACUGCCUGUGUGAGGCAAAUGGUUCCUGUCUGUGGAAAUGCAGUUUGUCUCAUGAAAUUGAAUGCUUUUUGGAUCUCGACUAGGAAAUCUUUGCCUGCCUAAAGUUAAGAAGGUUCCUUGGCGAAGCAUGAACACACCGAUGAAGAGCACUGAUUUCUAGUUGUCCUGAAUUCUGUGCCAUCAAAUGAGCAGCAUGAAGAGGAAUCAACACAACAUUUCUAAGUUUGUGCAGCAAUUAGGAUGCUCAAGUAUAGCCAAAAUUUGAACAGCAAUUUACCCAAAGCCUUUUCAAUCUCCUCCUUUGGUGGCUUUGCUGCUAAACAUUUAUCCCGACUUAAGAAACAAAACAACCUUGAUAACUCAGUCCUCCUUACAGCAAGCCCAACCUGAAACUUUUUGCUGCCCAGGAAGUUUAUAUUCAUAAUCGAUGGAAAAGUUAUUGGAGUUCUAGCAAGUUAAUUCCAAAUCUACCACUUUCAAAGCAACCCAUGGUGAGAAUAAAGACACCAAGGCAUAUUUACAGUCAUGGGGAGCCAAGAAGUCCUAAGUCCUGCUGGAUUGAUGCUUAGCUGGAAUGAAGACUUCAACCCAGGGCCAAACUUGGGUUUUGUUCACUCAUGAAGAAGGAAGUGGCUCAAGGAGAAGUGAUUGUGAGAAUGGCAGGAAGUAUGAGAGUGCUGUGAGCUGGGCUAGGUGGGAAGCCUGAAAUUUCCUCUAUCACAGGCAGAAAGAAGCAUAUGCAGAAAGAGUAAUCUUGAGGUAGUAUCUAAUGUUUUGGGGUUGGCACUUCAGCUCUGAUGUGUAAUCUGUUGUGCACCAGGAAGUCGUAGUCUCUUAUUUUAAGGUUCCAUUCCUGCUGAUAGUGUGGAGCCUCUUCCUCAAUGUGUUUUUGGGAGUCACAGGGCAGGGAAGCAUAGAGCCACCUCCUUGCUUCAAAGACUACACAACAGCACCUUGGCCAGACUGAUUUACAUUGCUUCAAGCCAAUUGAAGGGAUAGGGCAAGGUCCUAGCCAGCUUUGUACAUAUCAAUACACAGAAAUAGAUCCAAGUGUAGCCAAAAUGGAGAUAACUGCUCUUCUUUCAAGGAGAAUCCUCUGGGUGGUCCUCCACACUUCCUGGUCCCCACUGGAUUCCUUCAUGCAUUUUGUGUUUUUUCUUUGCCUUGCAACAAGGAGUUAGUCAUCCCAAAGCAUAUCUGAAAUUUUUGCCAUCUGCCUCUUCUGGGCAGCUAGAUCAUGAACUGGUUAUGACUGGGCUCAGGUAUAAAUUAGCAUGAAGGAAGGGGCACUAUGGAAUAAACUGGGUCCCUUCCACUCCAAGAUUCCCAUGUUGAAACCCUAGUCUUCAUGAUGACUAUAUUUGGAGACAGGACCUUGAGGAGACAGUUAAGUUUAGGUGAAAUAACAAAGGUGGGACCUUAAUUCUAUAGAAUCAAUGUCCUCGCAAGAAGUGAUGCUGGGGACUCACUCUUGCUUACUCUUUUGAGUGCCUGUGCUCUCUGCCAUCUGAGGUGAGAGAGAAGGUGACAUCUACAAGCUAGGAUGAGACCGCUUACCAGGAACCAAACUGGCUGGUAUCCUGAUGUUGGACUUCCCAGUCUUCAGAAUUAUCUGAAAUAAACUUCCUUUGUUUCCACUGCCUAGUCCUUAGUUUGUCAGAGCUGACUAAUACGAGAUGGAAAGUUAACUGGGCAUUACUUCCCUGAUACAAUCUUUCAAAUUACAGGACCAACUGUGACAUCAUGAGACCUCUCUGAGGGCUUUGGAAAAGUUCCAAAGGUCUACUACUGUUGGAGCCCUGCUGGGCUUGACAUCAGAGGCUAGCUGUGCUCACAUCCACAGAUACAAUGUGCCCCGUGCUGGAGAGAGCGCAUGGCUGGUUUCUCCUUGUCCUGAAUGAGCAGCACGAAGUGGAAUCAACACUUCUGUCUGCGUGAGAAGUCAAACGGCUUCAUCUCGGCUUUGUACUGGGGUCCGCACAGCAGAAGAUGGGAAGGAUGUUGGGCACUAUGGAUUAUAUAACUGCUCUGGGCUGAAUGUUUGUGUCUCCUUGGGUUUAUAAGUUGAAGCUUUAACUCCCAAUGUGAUUGUAUUUAGAGGUAGGGCAUUUAGAGGGCAGUUAGUGUGAAAUGAAGUUGGGAUCUGCAUGAUGAGUGGGAUGAAUGCCUUUUUAAAACGAGGAGGAGACACACGAUCUCUUUUUCCUUUCCAUGUGCAAACAUCAAAGCAAAAUCAUGUGAGGAUACAAAUGGAGGAUGAGGACCACUGCCUUUAUCAGGAAGAGGAUCCUCCCCAGGGGCUGACGGUGCUAAUGUCAGACGUCCAUCUUCCAGAACUACGAGAGAGAAAUUCUCUGUCAAAUUCAUCCAGGCUGUGAUAACAGCUGGAACUGACUAAGACAACAGCAAUUUAUUUUUCACAGCAAAAUAGGAGACUGCUUUGACAAUGACAUAAUCCCUUCCAAAUUCUUAUUAGGUUUUAUUCUUUCCUCCAUUAGACAGCAGCUUUGAAAUGUCUCAGUAGCUGAGAAAUAACUUUCUUUCAGAGAAGAAAGUGGCUGAAUCAGUCACCUCCAGUUUUCUGUGAAGUAGCGCAGGAGCCAGAGGGGAUUGAGGACUUUUCUUCUCAAAGUGAGGAAAGGAUACCUGAACUGAUGACAGGUGACACAGAUUCAGCCUCUCCUAGGGUCAAAGGCAUAAAUUUGUCUCUUUUGUUCUCCUAUCUCCCACGUCCCCUGUGGGACCCUGCUUUCUGUGCCACACCCUUCCAAGUUUCUCCUCCACUGACGAUUCUCCUUAGGAAGAAUGAAUGAUGCUGGCCACGGAUGUGAACCACACAUGGGAUGGAACCCUACAUCCUUUGGUUCCAAACUUCGCCAUGGCCCCUCAUUCCUUAUCUACUAGCUCCGGUCACCGUUCCCAGACAUGAUGUGCUUAUUGGGGCUAUGAGAAUGUGUGCGAGGAGCCCCUUUUCUUCAUGAGCUUGUCCUCUACAGGAGCAGUUGGCCCAGUCACAGGGAAUCAUUUGUGAGGGGAGAAGGGAGGUGCCCUGGGAGUUCUUUUCCACGUGCUAGAGCCCCUCUAUCCUGUUAUUGAAGGCUGUGCCCCCACAUUUCACUCAGGCACAUUCUUAAAGUAUGGGGAAAAAAGGAAGAAGAAAAGGAAGGGAAAGAAAAAGGAGUGAAGCAAUGAAAAAAACCAGCUGGGUACAGACGCUAGUAAGUUUAGAUUCAUCUACUUAUUUAUAGUCUUUACACCAAAACUUUUUUUUUUAAACAGGCAUAGGCUUGCUUGAUUUUCAUAACAAUAUGGGAACUGAGGUUCAGAGCAGGUAGGUUCUGUAGUUAAUAAAUGUCAGUGUCCUCUCUGGAUUUCAGUCCUUCUGCCUAUGGAUGCAGUUUUUUUUUCUCUUUCUCUCCUGUAUUCCUCCAUUAAAUACAAAGGUAUAUUUCACCCUGCUCUUUUGGAACCCAAGUCAGACUUUCUAGAACAACUAAAGGUUUUAGCAAUUAUGAGAAUUCUCUGUUCAACCUUUACUAGAAUUUACCUGGUAGACUUUGAUUCAUCGACUAGAAAUAAUCAUCCUUCAAAUAACUCAAUUAAUUUUUAGUCCUGUGUAGUUUAUAAAAUACUUUCAUCCAUAAGAUACACAAGACGUGUAUCUCAGAAAUCCAAUGAGUGGCCUGAUUGUGCAACUAGAAAAUUAGGUAGGGUCAGGAUGAGGUCCUACAUUUUCUGAUUGAAGGUGAUACUUUCUCUGUUUCUGCAUUUCCUCCACAGUAUGUGCUCAGCCAGGUUAGCCUCUGCAGAGAGCGCAGUGAGGUCUCUAUUCCUAAGGAACAAAGUCUACUUAGGAAGCGAAGCCUUAUUUAGCCUGGAUAUAGACAAAAUUGUAACUCCAGUCUCUACAUGGCAGGUGACACGAUUUUCAGGCUGCAGUGUAACAGAAAACACUUUUUUUUCUUUUGAAAAGUGGCAUCAUUUCUCCACGUCUUAUAUUUAGGCUGGUUCUGCGAAUGUCUAUAGCUAAUAAAUUGCACCAGAAGAAAUGCUAAGCUUGGGCUUUUCUACUGUCUUCCUUGCAUCCUCUGGAUUGCCAUAAAAAUAAGGCGAUGCUAGCUGCAUAGAAAUAAGCAUCACUUAGAGGAAGCUGAGUGAUUCCUACUGAGACCAUUCAGAUCAGACAGCCCUCGACUGACCUGCCAUCUAACUACAGAUGCUCCAGUGAGCUUAGCUGAGAUCAUUCAUAGCCCACAUCAGCAGAACCAUUGUGCUGAUCAAGGCACAAACAGGUGAGAAAUGAUUCAUGAUUGUGCUUUAAGCCUCUGUCUUUGGGAAGUGGUUGGUAAUUCAUGAUUAUUGUGUUAAUAGAUAAAAAAUACACAGAUAUUAUUAUUUUCAUUGUUGGUAUGGUUGAUACAUUGAGAAGUUUAGAAGUUUAACUAAGAGACUCAGCAGGAAGCCAGGAUCCUUACUUUGUUAAUAUCCUCAUUCUGUGCAAGAGGAGGGCACAGAGAUUUUGUGAGUGCUACACCCGCCCUGGAAGAAGAGGGUGGGUGGGUGGCCUGUGCACACUACAAGGGAGGAAAAGAGGCUUGUGCUUCCUCCUUUUGCUCUGUCUGGUGCCUUGAAGUGUUGCCCCAGUGCCAUGCCAACCUAUCUUGGAGCCAGCUGAUUACAGACUGAAACCUCCACAAACAGUGAACUGAAUAAACCUUUCCUUCCUUCAUGUUGGGUCUUGUGUUGGGUGUUUUGUCCCAGCAAUGAAAGAAAAAUAACCAGGACAGUUGUCUUGAUGAAGAAACAGACUAUAAGAGGCUGAGUCAUUGCCAUGAUCAGACACUAGUAAAUCCACCCAGAAAGUUUGCCCCAGCAUCCAAAUUCUUGUCUGUUAUUUGUGAGACCUCACUGUAACACUCAAGCCCUCAGCUAGUUUGCAAGGAAUUUUAGUGAAGAAAGAGGUGAUUUUACUGACAGAGGCAAACCCAAAGGAUGGAACUCAAAUCCCAGGAUUCCUUUUGCUGAUCAAAUAAUAUGUUAUUAAAAACACUUUAAAAAAUUUAAGCUAUUAUGCUCACUUUGGCAGCAUAUAUACUAAAAAAAACCCUGUAAUCUGUCAGAGAAAAAAUUGCAUAAAUGUAAAAUAAGAAAGAAAAUAUCACUGAAGUCAAGGUCACAAACUAAGCCAUUGAAAGAAUUUUGGGUGUACCUUAUUAGCACUAAGUUAUGACUGAGUUUUGUGAGAGGACUAUAUGACAGCCACAUUAAUGCAAAUGCAAUUCCUUGUUCCUAUUUUUGCAAGUGAAAACAAAAUGCAGUUAUAUUAGUGGAAUUUGCUUAUUAAAGUAAACUAAAAUAUACCGCCAAGUGCCACCCCAUCUCCAUAUCUACUCCCUAUUUCUUGACAAAGAGCAAUUAUUCCCCACAGUAGCCUUGGAAUGUUUUAUUAAAAUAAGAAGGCAUAAUUUGAUAAGAAAGGGAAUGCCAAAAAAUAUGAAUUCUUACAGAUAUCGGAGAUUUGGAAGGUUCUGGAAAGCCUCAGGAUUGAUGUACAGCAGGUUGUUAGCCUUUUCAAUUCUACUAUAAAAGAGGAAAGUACAUGUGAGUACAAGGAAUGUUUUCACAUUUUUCAUGUUAUGAAAAGUACUUCAGUAAAACAUUAAUUUAUUCAUCUAUCCAUCCAUCUGUCCAUCCAUCAUUUGAACAAAUAUUGAGCAAACAUACAGCAUUUUUUCUUAUGCUAACUGUGCAUAUUAAUGUUAAUGCUGUGCCGUGAGAUGCUCCUCACUUGGGACCUGCCUACUAACGUCAUUUUUACCUGGAACAGAGUUGUCUUUAGCCAGUGCAGCUCUCCCAGAGUUGGAGGGCAAGGGAUGAGAGUAACACUUAGAACUGAAUUUUGUCUGUGCCAAAGACAAGAGAGGAGAUGAAAAGCAACCAAAGAGGAUGAAAAGAAGAUGAGAGAGAGUAGCAAAGAAGGUGGGACAUGGAGAAAUAGGUGGGAUGGAGAAAUAAAGGUGAAAUGGCAAUGAAAAAUGAAGAUUAGAAAAAAAAAAAAAACAGUAUCUCUUUUUUUUCUAACCGGGAAAUUCCAGCAGAGAGCAGCUAGGAAGGUCACGCUGUAGACCAAGGCUGCUUCCUCUCAGUGCAGGGGAAGUGGUGACUUCUGCCCUGUGUUGGCCUGUGAAGCAGUAUGUCAAAUCAAUUGUCUGGAUGUGAGUGUGUUCGCAGUUAAAUUCCAACAGAGACUGUGUCUUUUGCUCAUCUUGUUGGAUCAAUGUAUAUUUACAGAUACUUUUUUUAAUUGCUUGCUCUCCAUUUCGUUAAUUUCUAUGUUGCUGUAACCUGAAGGUAUCCUGAUCCAAGUAUCAGACAAUCAUUUUAAACAUAGCUGGUGUUACCUGAGGCUCUCCAUGCAAGGAGGAGAUGAAUGAGCUACUCUGGUUCCCCUCUUCCCUCUGAACUGGAUGGAGGGAGGCCUGCCUGGCUGUGUGUAAAGGGCUGGCUGCUCUUUGGUGUGUUUCCCUGAUAUACCCCUGCGCUUCUGAGACCCCAGCCAGUCUCUUUGCCCAACUAGGACAGAAGGAGACCAAGAGUGAAGAGGGAGUAAAGAAAGGAAAGAUCACGAGGAUAGUGACAAUGAAGAAAAACGAGGACCAGAUGGUGGGUGGGAGGGCGGAUGGAUGGGUGAGGAAACAGAGUCUGCCGAAGUGGGCAGACAGAGUGCUGUUCCUGAGCAGGCUCCUGGACACACGUGUGUGUACACAUACACUUACACCUACUGGUAUUUGAAAAAUGCUAAAAAAAUUCCUUAUUAAUAAAGAAGUUUUAAAAAGCCA